AAACCAUCAACCGGCCCCCCUCCCCCCAACAUGGUAACCGGCUCGGAUCUGGGCAGCCAGGGCGCACAGUGUGGGGCCCAAAAUACGCUGGAACUGGCGAGCUUGGGACCGCUGCUGGGCUUGGAAGUAUCCUUAUAAGAGAGUGGCAGAGGGAGCUUUUACUAUCAACGUGAGGACUGAAGCAAGAUGCUACACUCCUGGCUUUCAAGAUGAAGGAAGGUGCCACCAAAGAUGCAGCUCUAGAUGCUAGAAAAGAUGAGGAAAUAGAUUCUUCCCUCGAGCCUUGAGAGGGAGCAUGGCAUUACGGACAUCUUGAUUUUGGCCCAGUGAAACUGAUUUCAGAUUUCUGUCCUUCAGAACAGAAGGCCCUGUAACUAACAAAGAUAAAACAGCUGGCCUUCCCACUUCCUGGAAGAUAGCCAUCAUGUAAAGAGUGAGACCACACUAUCCUGAGACCAUCAUGCUGUGAAAGACUCAAGUCAUAUGGAAAGACUCUGGAGGAUGAGAUAUACUGAGAAGAGAAAGAGAGGCCAAGGAGCACCAAAAUGCCAAGACAUGUGACUAAAGGAGCCAUCCUGGAUAUCUAGUCAAGACUUCCGAUGACUCGUUCCAGCUGUUACUGACUGCAGUCACAUAGGAGACCCCACGUGAAAACCACCUAUCUGAGCCCAGUCAACUCACAGAACCUUAAAAGAUAAUGAUAAAUUGCUAUUUUAAGCUCUAUAUUUAAUGAUAAUUUGUAAUGUAGCAAUAGUUAUUGAGAACACGGUCAAUAUGCUUAAAUGUCCCGUGCCUAUUUAAAAGGAAUUAACAACUGUAACUUGAGGGUGCAAUGUUUUAUAUGUGUCAAUUAAGCCAAGUUCAUUAGUUUGUAUAUUCAAACCUAUAUUCUUAAUAAUUUGGUUUGCUGUCUAUAACUUACAGAAGUAUUUUGAAAAUUUCUCAAUAUGAUCCUGUAUUUGUUCAUUUCUCUUGUAAAUUUUUGCUUUAUUUGAGGCUAAGUUGUUAGGUGAGAACAAAUUUAAAGUUUAUAUCUCCCUGAUGAACACAAUCUUUUAUCAUAGCUAGGUAUUCCUUAUUUCUAGUAAUGUUUUGCCUUAAAGUUUACUUUGUCUGAUAUUAAUAAAGCUA